rnacentral:misc_RNA from 1 species
GAUGAAGAACGCAGCUAAAUGCGAUAAGUAAUGUGAAUUGCAGAAUUCAGUGAAUCAUCGAAUCUUUGAACGCACCUUGCACUCCUUGGUAUUCCGAGGAGUACGCCUGUUCGAGUGUUAUGAAGCUCUCAAAACGCAAUUGGCUUAAAACCUGAUUGUUGUUUUGGAUUUGAACUUUGCCGUGUUAUAACGGCUGGUUUUAAAAGUAUUAGCUGGUACUAGAACGAAUUGGUUCUACUCAACGUGAUAAUUAUCUGAUCGUUGAGGACAUUCCUUUCACGAGGAAUGGCCAUAGUAAAUUCAAUGGACUGCUUCUAAUCUGGCUUUAAUUCUUUAUUGGAUUAACCACUUUUCAAAUCUGACCUCGAAUCAGGUGGGACUACCCGCUGAACUUAAGCAUAUCAAUAAGCGGAGGA